CACAAUGACGGUAAACUUCAGAAAAACGUAGGAGAACCUCUCGCAAUAUCUAACAUCAUUGGACAUGUUUGAUCCUGAACGAUGGACUUCCUGUUUCUCGUCCCCCACACUUUGAACUCUGUACCGCUUCGCCUUGUGCUGUCUGAUCAGUUAUUUGACUGAAUAGAUAGACGCCCCAAUUAGGACACCGCGAGGAAUGAAUGGCGCACUUAUGCCACUGUGGCUUCUGAUUUUGAUUCAUUACAAAUCUAUUUGGAUUAAUUUGGCUUGCUGGUAUUUGUCUCAGGUGGGGAGAGUACCUGGAUUGUACCCAGACAGUGGAUUUAAUAUUGUUGAUUUUAGACAGGUUGUCACAGGAAGGAUAAGAUCAUCAAGGAUGUCAGCCACCUGAGCCACGGCCUGUUCACCCACCUAGAAGGCAGAGACAGUACAGGUGCAUCAAAGAUGGGACCAUAAGACUGAAAAACAACUUCUAUCUCCAGCCCAUCAGACUGUUAAACAAUCAUCAG